GUGCUCGCUUUGGCAGCACAUAUACUAAAAUUGGAACGAUACAGAGAAGAUUAGCAUUGCCUCUGCGCAAGGAUGACACACAAAUUCAUGAAGCAUUCCAUAUUUUU
rnacentral:snRNA from 1 species